GGUGUAGUAAAAAAAUUAUCGCAAGGAUUCUAGGAGUACGCUCUCUAGAUGUUUAUGUUCAAUAUAAUUUAUAUGGAAACAUCCGCGUAACUGUAAAGUUUGAUAAUCUGAAGUUUCUUAAGAAAAUUCAAAAUAAUGCAAGCAAAAUUCAGUGCGCUCGGUGGUUUAUAACAAGAGGAAGCAAACGGUGGGCAGCGGCACAUCCGCGCAGCGCUGGAGUUCAUCAUCGCCCAACGAAUAGAAAAUUUUAUAUAAAUAUCGGCACUAAUGCGGUGGUUUAGUAAGAAUGUAUGUAUGUAUGUUUGUGUUUAUUAAUGUUGCUGAUGUUUCCACACUUGCUUUUAGUCUCUGUCCAUUCUGUGUCCUUCAACUUCACUGUCUGUGCCAUUAAAUCCAUAAUUCCCUUUAUCCAUCUGAUUCUCUGCCAUUUCUUUGACUUUCCUACUCCAUAUUGUUUUGUAUCAGUAUCAUACAAAAUGAAAGUUUUGUUUU